rnacentral:rRNA from 1 species
UAAGGAAUAUUCCACAAUGGGCGCAAGCCUGAUGGAGCGACGCCGCGUGCGGGAAGACGCCUUUCGGGGUGUAAACCGCUUUUCUCGGGGAUGAAACGUAUGGGUAAAACCGUACUAAGACAGUACCUGAGGAAUAAGCAUCGGCUAACUACGUGCCAGCAGCCGCGGUAAUACGUAGGAUGCAAGCGUUGUCCGGAUUUACUGGGCGUAAAGCGCGCGCAGGCGGCACACCAAGUACCCUAUGAAAUCUCCUUGCUCAACGGGGAGGGUGUUGGGUAGACUGGUGAGCUAGAGGACGGUAGAGGGGGGUAGAAUUGCUGGUGUAGCGGUGAAAUGCGUAGAGAUCAGCAGGAAUACCCGUGGCGAAGGCGGCCCCCUGGGCCGUUUCUGACGCUGAGGCGCGAAGGCUAGGGGAGCGAACGGGAUUAGAUACCCCUGUAGUCC